CCUACGGGGGGCAGCAGUGGGGAAUUUUGGACAAUGGGGGCAAUUCUGAUCCAGCCAUUCCGCGUGAGUGAAGAAGGCCUUCGGGUUGUAAAGCUCUUUCGGUGGGGACGAAACGGUCUUGGCUAAUACCUGGGGCUAAUGACGGUACCUGCAGAAGAAGCACCGGCUAACUACGUGCCAGCAGCCGCGGUAAUA
rnacentral:rRNA from 1 species